rnacentral:rRNA from 1 species
UACGAAGGGUGCAAGCGUUACUCGGAAUUACUGGGCGUAAAGCGCACGUAGGCGGAUUGUUAAGUUAGGGGUGAAAUCCCAGGGCUCAACCCUGGAACUGCCUUUAAUACUGGCAAUCUCGAGUCCGAGAGAGGUGAGUGGAAUUCCGAGUGUAGAGGUGAAAUUCGUAGAUAUUCGGAAGAACACCAGUGGCGAAGGCGGCCCACUGGACGUGUAUUGACGCUGAGGUGCGAAAGCGUGGGGAGCAAACAGG